GACGAACGCUGGCGGCGUGCUUAACACAUGCAAGUCGAACGGGCCUGUCUUCUUUUUUGGGGGUGGGUUGAGUGGCGAACGGGUGAGUAUCACGUGAGUAACCUGCCCUUCGGUCCUGGAUAACCGCUUGAAAGGGCGGCUAAUACGGGGUGGUCCGGUUGGUUCGCAUGGGCUGGUCGGGAUAGAUUCACUGUUUUUGGUGUUUCGGCGGGGGAUGGGCUCGCGGCCUAUCAGCUUGUUGGUGGGGUGAUGGCCUACCAAGGCGGUGACGGGUAGCCGGCCUGAGAGGGUGGGCGGCCACACUGGGACUGAGAUACGGCCCAGACUCCUGCGGGAGGCAGCAGUGGGGGGUAUUGCACAAUGGGCGGAAGCCUGAUGCAGCGACGUCGCGUGAGGGAUGGAGGCCUUCGGGUUGUGAACCUCUGUUUCCGGUGGUGAAGGCCCUGUCCGUGUGGUGGGGUUGACGGUAGCCGGGGAUGAAGCGCCGGCUAACUACGU
rnacentral:rRNA from 1 species